rnacentral:rRNA from 13 species
CGUACCUUUUGUAUAAUGGGUCAGUGAGUUAGUCUACUUAGCAAGCCUAAGCCGUUAGGUGUAAGCGUAGCGAAAGCGAGUCUGAAUAGGGCGACUGAGUUAAGUGGAUUAGACCCGAAACCCGGCGAUCUAGUUAUGAGCAGGUUGAAGGUGCAGUAACAUGCACUGGAGGACCGAACCCACGUCUGUUGAAAAAGACGGGGAUGACUUGUGACUAGGGGUGAAAGGCCAAUCAAGCCGGGAGAUAGCUGGUUCUCCGCGAAAACUAUUUAGGUAGUGCCUCAGGUAUUACCUACGGGGGUAGAGCACUGGAUGGAUGCGGGGGGCGCGAGCCUUACCAAUUCUAACCAAACUCCGAAUACCGUAGAGUAGAGCCUGGGAGACAGACUGUGGGUGCUAAGGUCCAUAGUCGAGAGGGAAACAGCCCUGACCACCAGCUAAGGUCCCUAAAUCAUGUCUAAGUGGGAAAGCAUGUGAGACGGCCAUAACAACCAGGAUGUUGGCUUAGAAGCAGCCAUCAUUUAAAGAAAGCGUAAUAGCUCAC